AAGGCGAGGCCGACAGGCGUAGUCGAUGGAUGACGGGUUGAUAUUCCCGUACCGGCGAAGCACCGCCCAUGCUGACGCGCGGGUGCUAACCCACGCCCGGCCGCCGUGUAGGCCGCGCCUACUCCUUUCGGGGGGUGGUGUGGUUGCGGUGGUGGGGUCUGGGGAUCCUCCGUGCAGGUAGGCAAGCGUGUUAACAGGGGUGACGCACAGUGGUAGCCCGGCGGACCUGAUGGCUUGGUCCGUUCAAGCGCGCAGCCCGUCCUCCAGGUAAAUCCGGGGUGACUGUCUUUGAUGACGGGGGUGAGGCGUGAUGGUGACCUCACGUUGGUGGGGGAUAGCAGGGUGAUCCUGGGGUGCCGAGAAAAGCCUCGACGCGAUGGUGCCAGCCGCCCGUACCCUAAACCGACACAGGUGGUCGGGCAGAGUAUGCCUAGGCGCACGAGUGAAUCAUGGUUAAGGAACUCGGCAAAAUGCCCCCGUAACUUCGGGAGAAGGGGGGCCCGAUCCCUUGAAGCCCCGUGGCGGGCUAGGGGGGUGGGUCGCAGAGGCCAGGGGGAAGCGACUGUUUACUAAAAACACAGGUCCGUGCGAAGCCGUAAGGCGAUGUAUACGGACUGACGCCUGCCCGGUGCUGGAAGGUUAAGAGGAACCAUCAACCCUCGGGUGAAGUGGUGAAUUUAAGCCCCAGUAAACGGCGGUGGUAACUAUAACCAUCCUAAGGUAGCGAAAUUCCUUGUCGGGUAAGUUCCGACCUGCACGAAUGGCGUAACGACUUCCCCGCUGUCUCAACCAUGAGCUCGGCGAAAUUGCAGUACGAGUAAAGAUGCUCGUUUCGCGCAGAAGGACGGAAAGACCCCGGGACCUUUACUACAGCUUGGUAUUGGCGCCCGCUAUAGCUUGUGCAGGAUAGGUGGGAGACUGUGAAGCCGUUACGCCAGUAGCGGUGGAGUCGUCCUUGAAAUACCACUCUGGUUAUGGCGUGCGCCUGAACCUGGGCCCGUGAUCCGGGUUAGGGACAGUGCCUGGUGGGUAGUUUAACUGGGGCGGUUGCCUCCUAAAGUGUAACGGAGGCGCUCAAAGGUUCCCUCAGCCUGGUCGGCAACCAGGUGUUGAGUGCAAGUGCACAAGGGAGCUUGACUGUGAGACCGACGGGUCGAGCAGGUACGAAAGUAGGAACUAGUGAUCCGGCGAUCCCGUGUGGGUGGGUCGUCGCUCAACGGAUAAAAGGUACCCCGGGGAUAACAGGCUGAUCCUGCCCAAGA
rnacentral:rRNA from 1 species